GACGAACGCUGGCGGCGUGCCUAAUACAUGCAAGUCGAACGCUGAAGGAGGAGCUUGCUUCUCUGGAUGAGUUGCGAACGGGUGAGUAACGCGUAGGUAACCUGCCUGGUAGCGGGGGAUAACUAUUGGAAACGAUAGCUAAUACCGCAUAAUAGUAGAUGUUGCAUGACAUUUGCUUAAAAGGUGCAAUUGCAUCACUACCAGAUGGACCUGCGUUGUAUUAGCUAGUUGGUGGGGUAACGGCUCACCAAGGCGACGAUACAUAGCCGACCUGAGAGGGUGAUCGGCCACACUGGGACUGAGACACGGCCCAGACUCCUACGGGAGGCAGCAGUAGGGAAUCUUCGGCAAUGGACGGAAGUCUGACCGAGCAACGCCGCGUGAGUGAAGAAGGUUUUCGGAUCGUAAAGCUCUGUUGUAAGAGAAGAACGAGUGUGAGAGUGGAAAGUUCACACUGUGACGGUAUCUGACCAGAAAGGGACGGCUAACUACGUG
rnacentral:rRNA from 1 species